UAAGUUAUAAGAACUCGUAUAUUAACAAGUCUAAAGUCGUCUCCAUCUCUCGCAUAAACUAAUAAGCUAGAAUGAUAGGGAACUGUAGAUUGGUUGUUACUCUUCUUAGGGCCCUAUUGGUACUAACCAACUUCCAUAAUCAGGUCAUCGUCGCUACCGACCGUGGUCAGGGUAUUCCGGCCGUAGGACUGUUCACUUUCGGAGACUAGCUCCUACUUUGAUGCUGGAAACAAAUUGUUUCUCAGCCAAAACCAAAACCCUCCCCAAAACACUUGGCCGUAUGGAAAAUCCCGCGAUGACCCUAAUGGCAAGUUUUCUGACGGGCCGUAUGGAAAAUCCCGCGAUGACCCUAAUGGACAUAGUCCCUGACUUUAUCGGUGCGUUACAAUUACUUUCACGGCUGUGGUAUGGGAAACGUGAGGUAUGUGAGUACCAGAGGGCUUAUUUAUUUUACGACGGACUUCAUAACACGGAGAAGGCGAAAGAACAAUUUGCUAAUCUUAUCUUUGGGGCGAACACUAACGUCGUUCAGCCGAUGAACCUUCGUGAGCUCAUUGUCUAUCCUUUUAACGAGCCUAUGCGUGAGUUUUAGCAACCAAGCAAUGCCACCAUCACAAUUGAUGAUUAAAGACGAGUAGACGACUAUACGUCAUAUGUUUUUAACUUUUCCUCUUUUUUUCUUGUCAUUUAUUCAUAAAUCAUAUGUCCGUACAAUAAUAUGUAUAAGAUUUUUUUCCCGUAUCAAUGUAACAAUAAUAGCUACAAUUUAUGGUUUCCUCUUUCGAUCAUUUAAAAGAAACAAUAUACAAAAAUAAACUAGAAAGUGCUCUUAUUGUUGUAUUUAUCAGGGAAAACUGCUUGUCCAUAAAACUCAAAACCACACACCAAAACAAAACGCUCAACAUAUCACUCACGAGUCACAACAAAAAUUGAACAGAAAUCGAAAGCAACACGCAUCAAAGUCACAACUUUAAGCAGUUCUUAGAGGGUUUUGUAGGGAGAAGAUUAAUGCAUACAUUAAUUUAGACAAGAACUAUAUGAGAAAGUGGUAGAGAAGUUUCAUGUAAAGAAAGGAGAUCGAUGAGGAAUGAGGAUUAGCCACUGUUUCCACCACGGCCUCUACGAUCGCGUCUUCCACGUCCUUUUGACCGUUAAUUAUUCCAUCUCCAUUGCAUUUAUUGUGUAGGUUCCCUAUGAGGUCCAACUUCUGAUUCCCAAGCAUAUUUUUGCUUUCUAAGGCCAUCCUCAUUGGAUUUUUCUUCACAAAUAUUUGUGUAAGAACCCAUACAAAGGAUGGUCUAGUGUUCCUUGGUUUUAAAUGGCAUUUUUUUCUAGUAUAUAUUUCUAAAAACCAUCUAACAGAGAAAAAAGACCAUCUAGAUUAAACAGUUAAAACAUUAUUAAUCAACAAAAAAACUAAACCCAAAGCAGAUAUAAUAAAUAAUAAAAGACAUUUUUAUAUUAUAGUGUUUCUUAACACUUAGGAAGAUCAUGAGGAGGAGGAAGCAGAGUCUGUGAAGGAAGAGGACCAUCCUUAACGAUAAAACCCAUAGCUAACCCCCACGAAGUAUGCUGCUCCAGAUGACAGUGAAUAAACCAAACUCCUGGAUUAUCCGCAUUGAUCCUAAUCGCCGCCCAUCCUCCCGUCGGCACCGCGUAAGUGUUCCUCUCCGGCGGAUCCACCAGAUUGUACCUUUUCGGAUCCUUCUCCGGGUCGAAGUUCCCGAAUCCUCUUCCCACCACGAAGAAGUUGUGUCCGUGUACAUGUAACGGAUGGUUCUCGAUGUUCAAGAAACUCGUUCCCUGGAACACGAUCUCUAAUCUCGUUCCGAACUCCACUUCGAACAGCUUCGUCCCGAACUCGGUGUUCAUGUUCUCCGAAACCGGAUCCACUCCCGUGAAAUCGAAUCUGUUCGGCGGUUUCUCCGGGAAAUCGAGUGAGAAGACUCCUUUGCUCUGUUUUUUAUAGUAGCUCUCCAGGAUCGAGACCGGAGGUCGAACGAAGGAGAUGUUGUUCAUAGACGCUGAGUAUCUCUUCCCGGCGUAACCCCCGCAGGUCUGAUUUUGCGGGCAGUCCUGGAGAUUGAGACUGAUCGUGGUGAUCACUCGCUUGUCGAUCUUCCUCGGGACUUUACACGGAUACUCCUCCGAUCCGAGGCUCUUGAUGUUAUCGGAGAAUCUCGUCGCGAACUUCGUAUCCAGCAUUUUGGGUAGAUCCGCGGCUGUCGACAUUGCCGUUAAUCGCCGUCUCCGCUGUGUGUUUUCGGUAUUUUCCGGUUUGGUUUUGCCUCUGUAACGGAUGAACCCGACGGUGGUGGAGUUGUUGAAUGGGAAGACGGAAGUGACGUAAGGAGUCGCGGCGAUGAGAAACUCGCCGCCGGGGAGUUGGUUGGUGCGGAGGAGGAGGGUGGUGGUUUGACCAGGAGCGAUCAUGAUUGCUUGGGUAUCAACCGGUUUGGUGUAAACCGCGUCGACCUCGACUACGGUUAGUGUGUGAUUCGAUACAGCGAAGAAGAGCUCACUGUUUAGAGCUGCGUUGAUGAUGCGGAGGAUGUAGGUUCUCCCGGGGUCUACGUUCGCCGUGAAAGUAUCUGCGCGCACAAUCGUAUAAAUCAGUGAGAAACGAACCGAAUUAGACCAGAACUGGAAUUCAAAUUCUCGGUUUAAGAUGUUGGACCUUUGGUAGAGCAAGGAUAAAGUGGGCCGGGAAGCCCGUUAAGGGUGUAAGCGUCGGAAACGUUAGCCCCAUUUCCGGUCAUAAUCAUAUUCUUCUCCACUUGGUCUACGUCACCAUUCCACCAUUCGCCUACAUAAUCAUAUGUUUCGUUUUACAUUUAAAAAUAAGAUUAACAGUUUUUUCGUUGGUGGCUUAGUUUUUUAUUUUUUAUUUAUAAAAACACAUGUAUAUAUAUAUUUCACGAAGGAUACGAACCGUGGUGGGUAGUUUAAAAGAUCAUUUUCUUGGUUCAUCUGAAUAUAAUAGACUUCAGAUGCAUGUACUAUAUAUAUAUAUAUAUAUUUAAAUGGAAAAGAGACAAACAAAAAGUAAUUAAUGGUUUGUUGUACCGAGUAUAAUGGGAAUUUCGGACUGGAUAUUGUAGCUGCCGGGAAAGGGAUAAGGCUUCCGGGGAUAGAUGAUGAAAGCGCCGUAGACAGAGGCGCGUUGCCAUGAGUGAUGAGCAUGCCAAAGGAGUGUGCCUCUUUGAUCCUCCACUUUGAAUCUAUAUGUGUAUGCUUGUUUCGAUCUUAUUGGACACUGCGUUAUGUAUGCCGGUCCAUCUGCCCAACCCGUCCGGUAUUGCCUUAAACCAUGCCUACACACGAUCAUAAUGUAUCGAUAAUUUUUGAACUCACGUAAAGAAGUCGUAAAAAGUGUUUAAAUUAUAUAUGCAUGCAUGAGAUUUUAUGUUAUUAUUAACUUUUUACCAAUGAAUAGUUGUGUUGUGAGCGAUCCGGUUAGUCACUUUGAUUUCUACGGUGUCACCUUCGUGUACCGCCACGGUCGGUCCUGGGUAUUGUCCGUUCACAGUUAAAAGUUGUUUCGUGUGGCACAGUCGAGUUACUUUCUUCCAUUCGACCUAAAACCCCAGGAAACCAAACAAAAUAUGAUUACUAUAUUUAUAUAUAUAUAUCACAUAGGAAAUGCUACCAUCAUACAUAACUAGCUACCACGUUAAAUUUAUAAUCAAUAAAGACGUGUGUGGAGAAUAAAAUCUUGAAUAUAGAACAAAAAUUGUAAUCUUUGAAGUGUCAAAAACAUGAAACUAAUGAGGUUGACUAAAACUGCUUACGUUAAAGUGAAAUCGACGGGUGGUUGAAGCCGAAGAAUGAGGGAGAAGAGUUGCAAAUAGAAGCAAAAAGGUCGAAAUCAUUAGAAACCCUGAAUUCUCCAUUUUCUUUUAUAGCUAGAAUACUACUGAUCUUAGCUAGCUUCUUUGUUUUACUUAGCUAUGAUUAUUGAUCAGCUUUGCUACUGUGGUGGCUUCUUUAUAUAGGGAUCACAAUGGGGUUUGCUUUCUAGUUUUAAUACAUAAUUUUAUUAAAGUACAUACAUUUUUUUUAAAAAAUGUUUAAGCAACCCCGUCUCCCUUAACGAGCCUAUUCCCAAAAAAAAAAGUCAUGUACAAAAAAUUAACCGGUAAAUGUUCUUACAUUAUUGGAUCGGUAGGUGGUGAGUGUACCACGUACGAAAAAGUGAGACAGUUAAUUUAUAUUAUUUUGAAGAUUUCAAAUCUCUCGUAUAGUCUCAUCUCAAAUGGAUUCAAAUUCACUGCUUCCAAAUAAUAUGGCAUCACUAAAACGUUUAAAUCGCAACAUAUUUUUGCAACGACUAGCUAGUAUCGUAUCAACAUCUUUAGUUUUAUAUGAAUCUCACUACUAACACCCGAUCGAUUAAGUUCCCCAUCACCCAUAAGACCACGUGACUUCUCAAACAUAACUAUUUGACCUCUUUAACAAAAAAAAGAUUAAGAUCAUCAAUUGACCAUACAGAAGCUAGCUACUUGCCCUCUUGUGUUGAAUAAAAGUUUUCUUUCAUUUUCUUCUUUUUGUGAAAGAAGUUUUAAUUUGUCUAUUUGUAAAGCUUCUACUACUGACCUCAAAUAGUUCUAGAUACUAUGUAUUACUUUCUUUCUAAAAUUAUUUCUCUUCUAGGUCGAUGAUCUCACAUCUCAUCAGCUACCUCGGCUUUUCAAUUUCACCCAAUCCUUCUCUUUUCCACCAAACUUCCCCUGAUUUAUAAAAAUGUAUCCGAUCCCUCUCUCACAUCAACAACUUGCUCAUUUAUAAUAUAUAUAUAUAUUGAUUACUCCUUUUGUCAUAUUUGCAUAGUUGAUUAAGUUGACUAUAAGAUUUGGAUAUCUUAGUCAGGCCGGUCUUCGACUUUAAACGUAUAAUAUCACUAACCACUUGAUCUAACGAAAAUGGAUAUAGCACUAACAAAUCGAUCUUAUACGAAAGGUCAAAUGUAUAUAACACUGUACUGUACCAACUAAAGUUAGAUAUUUAUGGGUGAAAAGAAGUGAAGAUAAUAUAGUUCAUUGUUUCCAACAUGGAACUCUCAACUGUUAAUUCUUCAACGGCUAAAAACACAAAUUCAUUUUCGAUAUUUGUCGGUUUACAGUAGUCAGUAUAUCGUCUGACACUUCUUAAGUGGAACAUCUUUACGAAUGUAACCCUUCUGAAAAGGAAGCACAUGCAUGCAAAGGUUGGGGUUACGUAAAAAGUAAAAAAGUUAUGUCUACUUUAGUAGAAAUAUUGAUCAUGCUUUGGUGGGGUAAAAUUAAAUGCACACAUGUAAAACGUGCAAUUUAUAGUAUCGUCUAGUAUAACGAUUAGAGAGUGUUUACAAAGUUAGUAAAUAGACCCAAAAUCAUUUUUUGUUGUUGUUGUUGUGUGUGAGAGAAUCAAUUACCGUAUGAGACAUUUUAGUGUGUGUGUGUGUGUGUGUGUGUGUUAAAGAGAGAGAGAGAGAAUUACCGUAUGAAGGUAUGAUAUAUGAACUUAUUCUAUGCAAUUACACUAUCUGUAACAAUAAUCAAAGUAUGGGACGAUAAGCCUAUGCCUUUUUUAAAAAAACCAGAGAUCAAAACAUGCUAAUUUAAUAUUUUCCACGUAAACUUUUAUAUAUAUAUUCAUUUGCACGAUACUGAAGACUGACGUAAUAAAAAAAGAAAGAAAAAAAGAAUGAUGUAUACUUCUUAGGAAAAAAAAAAGGAAGAAUGAUGUAGACUUUUUCUUGAUAAUGUGGAAAAUUUAACUCCUCGUUAUUGAUAUAUUAUAUUGUGUAAUGUAUUUAUACAUGAUAAUAUACUUUUUAGAGUCUUUUUUUUUUCAGGAAAUCAUUGAACCUUUGUGGUCGAUAAAGUGAUGUAAUCGGUGGGUUGGUGCGAGCCAUCGAAGAGAACAGAUAAUACGACUUAAUUGCGAAUUGUUUUAUUUGCUGAUAGAGAAUAUAUAUAUGAGAAGACAUACUACAAUUGUUAGUCUCUUUUUUUCAUUCGUGUAAAGAACAAUACUCUUAUAAUAUAUAUAUAAUUUAAAUGCGACUACUUGACAUGGAUUUCAAGUUAUAAAUAAAAUGAUAAUUGUAAUUUCGACCUCCAAAAAAGAAAAAAAGAAAUUCUUGUGAAAAAAAGAACUUAUGUUAACUUAAAUCCAAUAUUAUGGAGGAGUCGAAAAUAAAACUUAUAAAUGGAUGUUAAGCAAUUUCAAAAACACUAAUAUCCACAAUUCAUAACUGUUAAAAAAAGGCGAUUUGAGCUGUUAAACGUACGCUGUUUUUUUAAUAUCUAGCUUUGAAAUGGCUUUUUUUUUCUUCUUUUAAAUGUAAAUAACUAAAUAUAAUCAAAAUCAUUUUAAGAAAACAAAGAAUUAUAUGUAAUUUUGAACUACUAGUUUAGACUUUAGACUAUGUUUUCUUUUUCCGUUUUGAGUAUACUAUUUACUAGUUUAACUUUUACCCCACCAUUUCAGUCACUGGCCAUUCGAAACGAAUUAAUGUAACUUUUUUUGAGAUAAUAUUAGUCACGACUUUGUUACAACGUUCCUUUACGAUAUAAUUCACAUGAAAUCCAUUUCUUAUUCUUCUGGUAGUCAAAAUUUGAAGUCAAAUUCCAAAGCAUGGCGGCAUAUCUAUUAUAAUCUAAACUAUAUGCAUGAAGUUCGAUUUUUGACUUUUGUACAUGUACAGAUUUAAUUAGUGUUUCUAAUAAACUAUGUACGCCUAAUAAUUGAUUUACCAAUCUGGCGUAUAUGGACUUUGUUGUUGUGGAAAUUGCAAUUCAACUUUUUUGCAAUUUCUUGUUGAGGCUGUGUUCUUUGGAGUUGGUGGGUAUGGGUAAGCUCCCUAUAGAGCUCACUUUACUCGACCAUACCACUAUUUCAGACCUCUUUAUCAAAAAAAGAAACCCUUUUUUUUUACAGACCAAUGAUUUAUUCAUUAUACAUAUGAGAUUAGUCCAAAAGUAAUAUUAAUUCAGAUGUAGAUACAUACUCAUACACUUUCGGUUUCUGACGCCCUGGACCCCUAAAUAGAAUCUAGAUUAGUCUUCGUCAUUAGAAAGCCAACGGACACAGCAUUAUUAUUUGUGCUCAACUCUUGAUCACUUUUAGCUUUGAGGAAUUCUAGUUUAUUAUAUACAAAACCCAAAUCCAAUAUCCCGGUUUGGGCUAACCUGAUCAUACCAACCACACAAACUGUCUCUGAGGCCUGAGUAAUGAAACAAAAUUUGAUUAUGUAAAAGUAAAAUGAACUUCAAAAUGUGCGUGUCUUUGAAAAGGAGAAAAAAAAUAAAAAAUUACAUGGAGAUCACAGUCUUUAUUUGAAGUUUCCAUUCUCACCCCAAACUAUUAAAUACAACAAUCAAACCCAACCACAGAGAUAGAUGUGGAAGAAGGGAGAAGAAAAUGGAGCAACCAAUUUUUUCACCAGAAAACUUUCGUGAAAAGAACAAAAAAAAAACUAAAUAUUUGUUUCUUAAGAAUUAUGAAGAGAAGCAACUCUAUCAGUAAGCUCUGCAACUGUUUCAUCACCUUCUUCCUCAGCUAUGGUGUCCUGUAAAACAGAGAGAACAGAACAACAGUAAGCAACUUCAUCUUCUUGUUCCUUUCAAGAUCUUCUGUUUUUUUCUUUCUUUCCUUUUCACAAACUAACUAACCUCUUUGUCGGUUUUAGACUGGACACCGAUGCAUUUGGAACCGCUGAUGCUCGCGCUCUUCAUGAGGUUACGAGCACUGUAACCUCCUCCAUUGUCUGCUUCCUCAGAUUCCAAGGUUGAAGCCACAGCAGCUGCUGCUCUUCUUUCAACAUCACUGCUUUCUUCUGUAGUUUCACCAUUUGGAGCAGGAACUCUCUCUCUGCAACCAAUCACAGAGAAGCAAAAUGCUUUCAGAGAGAGUGACAAAGCGAGAGCAAGAGAGGAGAAGAAAGAGAGAUUCUGUGAAAGACAUUACCUUGGCAAAGAGGCGUGAUGUCUAUGAAGUGCAGUACUUCUUCCUCCUCCAGCUGCUCCUGGUUUACCUUGAUUUUCUUCAAGAUGAGCAAAUUGCCUUUUGAAUCGGUCAACCCCACUGCGUAUAACAACAAAAAAAAGAUUUCUUGGUUCCAUAACUUUCUGUUUUCAAGAUUUAAGGGUCCUGUAACUGUUAAUUAGCUAACCUGGGGUACAUGAAACUAAGCUGAUCACCACCACGAAGGUAUUCCUCCAACAUCUGAGGAUGAUAUUCCAAUAUCUGAUUUUUUUAAUCCAAACAUAAGUGAUUGUUAGCAUCAAUGAAGAAUAUAGAAACAAAAUCAGAGAAAACGAAAAUAUGUACGUAGAAGGCUUUUUUUUUUGUUACCUCUCGGUAAAUUAAUUCUCUGACAUCAUCUUUUGUCAGCUUCUUUCUCUCAAAGUCAAAUUCAAGCUUUGAAAUUGGCUGUGUCGAUGGUUCACGCUCUGAAUUUGACAAACCACUGAAGUAUGGAUCAGCUAGUGCCUGUCAAUAAAGAAACCAAAACGACAAAUAUACGAGCUUUAGUCUGUGUAAAAGAAAAGGGAAAAUCAUACCAAAUCAACUUCUCACUUACAUCUUCAGCUGAUGCACGAUCUUUGGGAUCAAAGGCAAGCAGGCGUUCCAGAAGGCGGAGAGCCAAAGGAUCAGCUUUAGGGAACUUAUGAGAGAAAGGGACUUGCUGUUUUUUCCUCAUGCUACUAAGAUAUCUCCUCGCCUUUUCAUUUCUAAUCUGUUCCAAGAUUGCAAAACGCAUUACAGGGAAUAGAUUAUUGACAAAUGGUGAAUGGACUACAUUAAAUUUGCUACAGAAAAUAUAAACAUAUGUUUUGAUUGACUAACCCUUGAUAUCGACUCAGGAGGUGGAGUGCCAAGAAAGUCAGUCAUUAGAUCCAAUUGGUGCACCACGUUUUUCCCGGGAAACAAAGGCUUACCCAAAAGCAUUUCCGCAAAAAUGCAACCGACACUCCAGAUAUCAAUCGCAGGGGUAUACUGAAAUAUAUCAAGAGUAGACUUAGCAUGAGAUGGUUGGUCUUAUCAACACUAUUGGAACCCCACAAUAAUAUUCUAGAAAAUAGCAAACUAGAAGCCUUAUAUUGAUACAGAGAAAUAACAAUAGCAGUUGAGUUCAGCGAAAAAAGAAUCUUACUUUGGAGAAAAACGAUCCACAUAGUUCAGGGGCACGAUACCACCGAGUAGCUACAUAAUCCUACAAAGCACAUAAAAGAAAUUAGCUUACAAGAACAGAAAGAGUUGAGGAAACCUGAUGAACACUUUUGCUGUCACAUUCUUUUGAGAUAGAUGACUCACAGUCCAAAAUAUAGCGGUUGGGGCAUCGUUAAAGGAAACACGAGCCAGCCCAAAAUCACAGAUCUUCAAUUUGCAAUCAGCAUUAGCUAGAAUGUUCUUUGGUUUCAAAUCCCGAUGAAACACAUUAGCUGAAAAGAACCCUCAAGUGUUACAAUAAAUCUAAAAAGAAAAACAAUGAGGAUCAAAAGGGACCAAUGUGUAAAGCAGAAAUAUUACCUGCGUGAACAUAUUUCAGACCACGGAGAAGCUGAUACAAGAAAAACUGAUAAUGCUCAGGAGUUAAGUCAUCGUUGGCCUUGAUGACUUGAUGAAGAUCAGAUUCCAUCAACUCGAAGACAACAUAAAUAUCCCGGAAUUCUCUACGAGAAGGAGGUAGCAUGAUGUGUUUAAUCUCCACAACAUCAGGAUGACGAAGCAACCGAAGCAAUUUGAUCUCUCUGAGAAUCCUAGUAGCAUCAGAGACAUGCUCAAAGACAUCGUUAAUCUUCUUGAUGGCAACUCUCUCACCAGUGUGUGAGUCCAGAGCAGAAGCCACAACACCAUAGCUUCCUUUGCCAACGACUUCUUGAAUCUGAUACCUGUUUGCUUCACCAUACUCCGUGAAGAAUUCAGCAUCCUGCAUACCCUGAAGAGGUUAGUCAUGAUUCUUACUUCAAAUUUAUGACAAAACUGAUAGAUCCAGAGAAUAACGAUCAACCAAAUGGAACAGAGAAGUCAAAGUUUUAUCCUUUUGUGAAGCCAAUGCAAUAAACACGUAACAUUAAGGGAACAUAGACAAGUCUCUUCAAUCUAAAAUAAAAAUAAAGCAAAGAAGACAACAUCUUAGGCCAUAUUGCAUAUAAGUCUAAAUCACCUCUACAUUUCAAAAAUAAAAUCAAUGACGUAGAAUAUAGAAAAAAAGGAUGAGAAGGGAGAAGAAGAAGAAGAAAGGAAAGGCACCUUUUUGUGAGUAUCCAUAGGUAAGUGAUUACGUUUAGGAACCUUAAUAAGCGUUAGGCCAGAGAAGUCGAGAUCUUCAAUAACAAUAAGCUCUUUGAAAUCUCCAGAGUGAACGGAAUGAUCGGGGAUAGAAGAAGAAGAAGAAGGAGAGGGAGAAGAAUUGAGAAUGGAUGGUUCGUGAUUGUUAUUAUUGGAAGAAGAAGAAGAAGGUCGCUGAAAAAGCCAUCGACGAACACCGUCGACGAGAUUCCCACCACCACCCAUACACCACUACUAGAUUAGAAGACCAAAAAAAUAGAUUAGUAAUUUACAAAUUUGGGUUUCCGAAAUUUCUCUGAGCCAAACGAUUCUCGUCAAAUCACCAUAUUUCUCGCCGCGUCUCUCGAUUUUGUCCUUCGGAGUUGGAGACCAUGUUCUUCUCCUCUCCUCUCUCUCCCCUGUUUUUUUUUUACUAUUUUAUUAUUUUCAUUUUUUUAUUAUUAUUUUACUGUUUUUUUUUUCUCAUCGUGUUCAGAUAUUUUUUUCCUUUUUUCUCGAUCCCUUAUUGGAGGAGAGAGAGUGUGGACUGUGGAGGGAGACGAACAAAACAAAUUAAAAAAAAUGUGUAUUAUUUAAAAUAUUACGACGACCCGGUUUGAUUAGACUAGUUUAUGCUAACCGGAUUAGGUCUAAUUGUAUAUUAUAUGGGCUUCAAAGCCCAUACAAGAAUUUUUAUUGGAUGGAACUCAAAAUGUUUUUCUAGUUUUGAAAACUGAAACACUUUAAAAAGGCUAAAAAAGUUUUGGUUCUGAGCAUGAGUCUGUCGUGGGUUCAAGCACAACAUAUAGAUGAAGUCGACGGUCGUGUAAUCUAAGUUUUAGAGUUUGCAGAAAUGAAGUAUCAGUUUCUGUAAGUGUAAGGUGCAUUUGCAUGUAUAGUCUCGAGUUAUAUGUAUGUUACGUUUGUUGAUCUUGUGAUGCUAUGUCAUGGGAAAAUAAAGCACAAAGUGGUGAGCAAAGCUUUUAAAUAGCCUAAAGAAGGAAUUUUGAAUAUGGAAAGCACGAUCAUAAACAAUUCAACGAUUAUAUUUAGUAUUUUUAUAUGUUAUCUUAUUUAGCUGUUUUAUAUACAAAACUUAACAAGAAGAAUAUAUAUAUUUUUACAAAAAAAAAGAAGAAUAUAUAUAUAUUUCUCUAGAAAAUCACUUGCUUCUCUUUUUUUUUUUCAUCAUCACUUGCUUCUCCUUACGUUCAUUAUUAUUACUAUUUUUAUAUUUUUAUAUCUCUAAACAUUUGAUUUAUUUUUAACGAGUAAGACUCUAAUAAAUGAUGUCUUUUAUGGUGCAACGUGUAAUUCUGUAUGUAUACAUUUUUGUGCUCUUUCCAAAUCCUGAAGACCAAUGACAUGAGAAAAAGGCAAUAUCAUGCCUUUUAAUUUUUAUUAAAAUGUUUGCAUGUCACACAGUAGCCAAAAAAGCAAAAUUCAAGUCUCUCCAGCUCAAAAAAAAAAAAACCACUCUUCCUCUAGUAAUCUGAAUCUAUAUCUUACUCUGUUUUUUUAGUUGAAUUUUGUCGGACUUUAAGAGAGAGAAAGUGGCGUCUUUGUGGACUUUCUCUUUAUAGGAGAGAGAUAGAGAUAGAGUCAAGAGAGAAGCAAAGGGGUUUUGGUAAACUUGAAGAAAAAGCUCGAAACUUUCAUCAUCUGUUUCUGUUAUUGGGUUUGAUCAGCUUUUGAAAUCACAGAGAAGACAACCAAAAAAAAGUAUUCUGGGUAUAUCUUCUUGAAAUCGAAAUCUGAUCUCCGUUUAAAGUCUUUUGCUUUGAUUUGGAUUCCGAUUUGAAUCUGUCACUGAAGUUAUUAGGUUUUGACGAACCGUUGAUCUGGACGGAGUUCCAGAUCUCCGGGUCGUGGCUCUGCGAGGAAUUAGGGUUUUAGCUCAAACUUGUCCUUCUCCUUUGGAUUUGAGGGAUGGGCAAGUUUUUGUGUUCAUGUUCGCUGCUGUAACAUUUGGAGUAUGAAGAUGAACAUGAAGAAGUUUCUUAAAAAGCUGCGUAUCACGCCCAAUCAGCGGGACGACGGUGAAGGGUCUGUGUCAAACAGAAGCAAUAAGUCGAGCGAUGCAGAACCAUCUCCUUCAGAUUCAUUGAGGUCUCAAGAUAGCCAUAGUAACCCUGAAUUCAAACCCUUUUCGGGUUUAUCUAAUUGGUUAAGCUCUGUUACUCAAAGAAAAAUUCCCACUUCUUCCAAUGCCAAUAGUAAAGAGGAUGAAACAACCAUGGAACAUGGUGCUCCCGUUGGGUCGGAAUCUGGGAUGCCGGGUUUGGGUUCUAGUAAUUCUAAGGAUCCAGAGGUCGAAGAAGAAUACCAGAUACAGUUGGCUCUAGAGUUAAGUGCUAGGGAGGAUCCUGAAGCUGCUCAGAUUGAGGCUAUGAAGCAGUUCAGUUUAGGCUCUCGUCCUUCUGCUCCCCAGAAUUCUCCAGCUGAGCUCAUGGCAUAUAGAUACUGGGUGAGUUUUUGAUUCAUUGCUAGAAAUAGUAACUAUUCCCAAGUCACUGGAGCAAUAAUAGACUGUGCUUUAAACAAUAAGUGUCGAGUUGAUUAUUGACCAUAUAAUUCUAGUACUGUGUGUUUAUGCGAGAAUCCACCUAGAUACAUAUCGUGACUAGUAACUCUUUUCUGUCCCCUCUAACCAAAUUAAUAUCAUCGGGAAUUUUGCAGAAUUAUAACUGUCUUGGCUAUGAUGACAAGAUUGUGGAUGGUUUCUAUGACCUGUGUGGAGUAAUGAAUGAAUCUUCCUUAGAAAGAAUACCUCCCUUAAUUGAUCUUCAGGGGACACUUGUGUCAGAUGGUGUAACUUGGGAUGCUGUUCUUGUGAAUAGAAGCGAUGAUUCUAAUCUGUUGAAGCUUGAACAAAUGGCUCUCGAUAUUGCAGCAAAAUCAAAGUCAGCGUCUUCUUCAGGGUUUGUGGACAGUGAGCUGGUAAGGAAACUGGCAGUUUUAGUUGCAGAUUACAUGGGUGGACCAGUUGUGGAUCCAGAUAGCACGUUAAGAGCUUGGUGGAGUCUGAGCUACAGCUUGAAAGCAACCCUCCGUAGCAUGGUUUUGCCCUUGGGUUCUCUAACUAUUGGAUUGGCUCGUCAUCGUGCCUUGUUAUUCAAAGUAUGUACCCUGCCCUCUUUUGCUUUUGUUUUGUUUGAAAAUUAGCAUAAGAAGGUCACUUCUUGUAAUCUCAUGACUGUGCUUCUUGCUAGUUUGGUGCAUGUUUGAAAUUUUGUGCUAAUCCGCGGUGUGGUGUUUCGUCUCUAAUUUCUUAUGAGACUUUGUAGGUUUUGUGUGAUAGUGUCGGUGUUCCUUGUCGAAUAGUCAAAGGACAGCAAUAUACUGGUUCAGAUGAUGUGGCAAUGAACUCCAUUAAGACUGAUGAUGGCAGGUGAAGUUUAAAUUUAAAUAAAAAUUCAAUCAUUAUGUACGUUCAAAAAUAUCUCUAUUAUUUGUAGAGAAAAAUGUGUAAGUAUAUUUCUAGGCACCAACCUUGUGUGUGUAUAUGAAAAUAUGGGCAUAUGGACUUUGGUGGGUGUUAUAGCUACCUCGCAUCUCUAAUAUGUCCAAAGCUAAUACUGAGACUUGAUAAAAGUGUAACUUUCGUUGGUCUAUACAACUAUACCGAUUAGAAUUGAGAGCAGGAUCAAGCAUGCUUCAUACUUGUAUUGUCAUUACUGUUUUUGUCUGCAAGUGGCAAAAUAUUUUUCCCUAACACAUGCAAAUGUGAAUUUCAGGGAGUACAUUGUUGAUCUCAUGGGAGAUCCAGGCACGCUUAUCCCUGCUGAUGCCGCUGGACUACAAAUGGACUAUGAUGAUUCUGUUUACUCCGCCAGCCCCAGGGAUGUUGAUUCAUCUCAUGUAGCUUCUUCCAGCAGUGGGGUGGAGAGCUCAAUUGAAGAGCACGCAGGAUCUUGGUCAGCGGAACAUCGUUGUAGGACAAAGGGUUCCCGGGAGGAAAACAAAUCUGAAGGUGGAGGGGAUCUCAUGAUUCGUCCAAAUAUAUCUAGGGAAGUUGUGGAAGGUCAUAAGACUCCUGUCCAACAUCCUUCCAGCAAGCCUACUCAUUCUUUCACCCAUGCCAGAUCACCUUCUUGGACUGAAGGUGUUAGCUCUCCAGCUGGACGCAGGAUGAAAGUGAAAGAUGUUUCACAAUAUAUGAUCGAUGCUGCCAAAGAGAAUCCACAACUAGCCCAGAAGCUUCAUGAUGUGUUACUUGAAAGUGGAGUUGUUGCCCCUAGAAACUUAUUUUCGGAAGUCUAUUCAGAAUCAAUGGAGGCAACAGUUGAAAUGAAAUCUGUGGGUGAAUCCAAUGAUGAGAAAGGGAAAGAUUUUGGAACAAUCCAGCAAGGAAGAAACCAGAGCAAUCUUGGUCCUGUGAGGUUCUUGCCUCCACUUCCAAGGCCGCAAUCGAAAAUCAAUACUCAUGAUCGACGUGAACCUUCAGGACCUGGACUCGGUCAUUUUUCUGAUGAUUGCAAAAUUGAUGGUCAGUCUGAUUCGUCACAUUCUGAAACAUCUACUGACUAUCCUCCUAGAAGUGUUCCUGUUGCCGUAGCUGCAGCAGCUGUUGUUGCAUCUUCCAUGGUUGUUGCUGCUGCUAAGUCAGCAAACUCUGACUCCACCUUAGAACUUUCUGCUGCAGCUGCUGCUGCAGUUGUGGCGACAGCUGCAGCAGUGAGUAGGCAGCUUGAACUAGAUUCAUAUAGCAACGGGGAUGCUGGUUCUGCUGGGCUUCAUGGGGUAGAUUCAGGAGGAGAACGAAUAUCCGACAGAUCUACUGGCAAUGAAAGUACAAAAUCUGAUGCUGCAAUUGAUGAUGUGGCUGAAUGCGAGAUUUUGUGGGAGGAAGUUACUGUGGCUGAGCGCAUAGGACUGGGUACUAACUUAUGCUCUACUACAUGCUUUAGUGUAACUAGUGUGGCAAUAAAUACGUAUUUUUGAUUUACCUCUUUUGAUGCAGGAUCAUACGGAGAGGUGUAUAGGGGAGAUUGGCAUGGAACUGUGAGUAUCUCAUAUUUCGAGUUAACUUAAUACUUUAUCAACAUAGCUUACUAAUUUGCUGACAAUGAGAGAAACGUGUUAAAUUUGCUUAUUAUUUAAUAUCAAUGAAACUCUUGAUUUGGUAGGCAGUGGCCGUCAAAAAGUUCAUUGACCAAGAUAUUACUGGAGAGGCACUGGAGGAAUUCAGAAGUGAGGUAUAAGUCUUUUCUUCUCUGGAAAUUCUUGUACCCUUUUAAGUUUCGAACAUUAACCGCUAAAUGACAGAUUCGUAACGUUUCAUUUCGACUCGAUUCAAGGUCCGGAUGAUGAGAAGGCUCAGACACCCUAACAUUGUUCUCUUCAUGGGAGCUGUAACUCGCCCUCCAAAUCUCUCAAUUGUUACAGAAUUUCUUCCUAGGUAUGCUAUGAUCUGUUUCCAUACUUUCAUGAAUUGUUUUGUUUUCAGGCUAUUUGUUUUGCAUAUCUUUGAUGAAAGCUACCCAUGUCCCAUCUAUUAAUGAGUAGAGUUCGGAGUCAUCAGUGUGUUUUCUGUGUGUACUUUUCAGCUUAUAAGAAAAUUUUGCUUGUGCAGAGGUAGCUUGUAUAGGUUAAUCCACAGGCCUAAUAACCAAUUAGAUGAGCGGAAACGUCUAAGGAUGGCUCUCGAUGCUGUAUACUACUCAUUUCUCUUCCUUUCCUUUUUUACCUCUACUAUAUAUUUGUAUCUUCUAGGUUGUUUCUUAUAAAUAAAAAAACUCCAACCUUUGUAGGCCCGUGGAAUGAAUUAUUUACACAGCUGUAAUCCGGUAAUUGUCCAUCGUGAUCUUAAAUCCCCAAACCUUCUAGUUGACAAAAACUGGGUUGUCAAGGUCAGUAGUUCUUCCUCUCUAGUUUCAUUUUAGCUCCUAUCAUAUUAUCUCUAAUGGCUUGCAUAUUUCUCAGGUGUGCGAUUUUGGGUUGUCUAGAAUGAAAGUAAGCACAUACCUGUCUUCAAAGUCAACAGCAGGCACGGUAAGCUGCAAAAAAAGAUCCAGUAGAUUCUCAGUUCAUCAGGCCGAGGAACAUAAUUUCCAGAGUCAAUUAUCAUCAGAAACAACCUCAUCUCCCACUUGUUAGUUCAUUGAUCUAAGCUAAGCGUGAUUUUGUGUGUUUUCUCAUUUCAGGCUGAAUGGAUGGCUCCAGAAGUGCUUAGAAACGAACCCGCGGAUGAAAAGUAGGGUUUUCUUGAGCUCCUUACCCAAGCUUCUAGCGUAUUAUAUUUUUUCCAUGUAAUGGUCCCUUUAAAGAACGAGGUAACAUACUGUGAAAACAGGUGUGAUGUGUACAGCUAUGGAGUUAUUCUGUGGGAGCUCUUUACACUACAGCAACCAUGGGGGAAAAUGAACCCAAUGCAAGUUGUUGGUGCAGUAGGGUUUCAACAUCGAAGACUUGAAAUCCCAGAGUUUGUGGAUCCUGGAAUUGCAGAUAUCAUCAGGAAAUGUUGGCAGACGUAAGUCAGUUUUGUAGUAGUAGAGUGAUGAUGAUUUUGUAGCUCUCUUUUUUAUCUUUAAUGAAGUUAGAUCUGGUCGGUAAUAUUAUUAUUGAUCUGGUUUUGGUAGGGAUCCAAGGUUAAGACCAAGUUUUAAAGAGAUCAUGGCUUCCUUGAAGCAGCUACAGAAACCUAUAAUGGGUCCAAACAACCAGAGAGCAGGAGUUCCCAGUUCUUCUUCAUUGACAACUGAUGAGCAGGAACAAUAACAAUAUGGUUGAAGAAGAUUGACUAAAUGAUGAUGGUGGGAUCAUUCUUUACAUUUUGUGUUCUGUGAUGUGAUGUUCAUGUGUAUUCCCCAUGUUUUGUUUACAAAUUGUAAAAAGAAAAAAAAAAGAAAGGAAAAAGAAAUUAUUUUGUCAAUGGUAAAAAUCAUUGAGAAUUGAAGUAUCAUUUUUCUCUUAUAUACGAAAUUCAAAAAGAAUUGAUCAUUUACGACUUCAUCACUCUCUAUAAUUUCGUUACUUGAAAUAGCAUCACACGAACAAGAUAAUAUUAGAGAGCUGAAAAUGGCGAAUCUAUUCACUGCUACGGCUCCUUUUCUCAGAGUCUCACAGCCUUUCACCAAAAAGUCACCCUCCCAGCAGUGUUACGCCUCUUCUUCUACUCCGCCGGAGCCUGAGUCUUCUUCUCCUCCUCCUCCUCCCCCGUCUCAACCGCUUACAUCGCAGCCGAAGAGGAAGAAGACCGUUGAGACGACGGAUUGGGUGGCUUCAUCCUUGACGCGGCGGUUCGGAAUCGGCGCAGGACUUGCCUGGGCGGGAUUUCUGGCUUUCGGAGUAAUCUCCGAGCAGAUCAAGACUCGGAUUGAGGUUUCUCAGGAAGUAGCUAACACCAGGUCUUAAUAUUUCAUCACAUCUUCGUUAGAGAAUGUUGCAGUUUUGACUAUACACUAAUAUCAUCUCAAGUUGUUUCUUUUGUUGGGGGGUUUGCAGAGAUGUAGAAGAGGAGAAAGAGAUUGUGUUACCCAACGGCAUAAGGUACAAUCUUAUCAAUUAGCUAAUGGUUGAAUGAUUUCAUCCAUGGAAAGGUUUAAUUACCUGCUUAAAGUUGUGGUAUGAGUCUGCUGCAUGUUUCUCUGUGGCCCUUCUUAGUGUAUAAACUUUCCAAGCCAUUGAACCUGUUGAUGUGUCUCCUUUCCCUAUGUACUGUAUAAUAUCAGACAUUCAUAACAAAACAGACAGCUUUUGAUAUAUGAGUCUUCUUCACCUUUCUCCGUGUCUCUCUUAUUCACCAUUGUUUAGCUUGUAUGUUUUCUCUGUGGCUCUUUUAUUUAUUUAAUAUAGUAUAUGAGCUAUUUAAGCCAUUGGAGUAGCAAUGGGACUCAUUUCUUUAUGUACCAGAAAUGGAAAGCUCUUAAAUCAGUAUUGGUUCGAACCGUACAGGUACUAUGAUCUACGGCUUGGAGGAGGAGCGACUCCAAGGGCAGGAGACUUGGUAGUGAUUGAUCUAAAGGGGCAAGUGCAAGGAACGGGACAAGUAUUUGUGGACACAUUUGGAAGUAAAGGCAAGAAGAAACCACUGGCCCUUGUGGUGGGUUCAAAGCCAUAUAGCAAAGGAUUGUGUGAAGGCAUAGAUUAUAUUCUAAGGUCGAUGAAGGCUGGAGGUAAACGCAGAGUGAUCGUUCCACCAUCGUUAGGAUUUGGAGAGGAAGGUGCUGAACUGGAAUCGGGUCUGCAGGUUCCUCCCAAUGCUUCGUUGGAGUAUAUAAUUGAGAUUGAAAGAGUCUCAAUUGCACCUGCUUGAUGAUUUGUACAGCUUUUGGUUUCAUUGCCAAAUCCUUCAACUGGUUGUUAAAUAAGAAGAGAUUGUGAGGGGAAAAUACUUGUAAAUUUCUUAACUUUUUUUCUUUUGGGGUCGUCGAUUAAACCGAACAAAACCGGGUCAAAAUGUUGACUUUUAAUUUAAAUAGAUAUGGAUACUUGUAACUUUUCUGUGGUUUAUACGUGUAUUUGCGACUUUGAUGAAGUGUAGCCACGAUUACGAAGAAUACUUUAUUCGCUGGACUUUUCUGUGAAGGAAGAAAGGAACAGAGGGGAUUAGGAAUCGGUUGAGAUUGUUGUCACCCGCGGGAUUGGAAGAAGUGAUUGGUCGGAGAGAAAUGGUAAAAGUGAUCGAUUCCCAUUACCUAGCCAUCACCGCCAUUGUCACCGUAUGUCUUUUCUGGUGCAUCUUUGUUUUUUUUUGCGUUUGACGAGGAAUCACGAGUUGGGUCUUUCCUAAUUUAGCGUUGUUUUCUCUGUAGGUUGUUUAUCAAUUCAUAUUCUUCGUAAUCACAGCUCUUUUUAAGUUUGAUCAAGUUACAGACUUUGCAGGUACGAUGCUCUAAUUUUAAAUUUUGUUUGGAAAAUGUUAAUCCUUUGAGAGUUUCGUACUUCUUCUUUCGAUUGCCAUCACCGAUGUACAAUUAUAGACUUUUUAUUUCCUUCAUUUUUGCUAACAUAUUUGUAUGACUCACAUAAAUGUUGUCAGGUAGUACUAAUUUCGUAAUACUUGCUGUAUUGACUCUGGUUCUCAAAGGGACAUGGCAUUUUCGUCAGGUAAAUUGAUCACCCAGCUCUUGCUCUCGCGGAGAUUAUCUUUCUUGAGUUAUUUUGUAGUCCCAGCGAUUGCUCUCGGAGAUAAUUGACUCAAUUCUUUAAUCGUUCAGAUAGUCUUGACUGUGCUAGUAGUCGUAUGGGGACUUCGUCUGGGACUGUUCCUCCUAAUGAGGUUUGCUCCUUGACACCGCCUGCAAUCGAUAUGCAUCUGCAAAAUUAUUGUGUGAGAGAAACAAAUUAACAGUUAAUGAAGUUUUUUAGUCAUGUCUGAUGUAUUUAUUCCAUACUAACGUUGAGUAGGAUCUUGCAAUGGGGUGAAGAUCGACGCUUUGAUGAAAUGCGUGGAAAUAUUGGGAAACUAGUAGUCUUUUGGACUUUUCAGGUUAGUUACGAACUUUGGUUUUUCAUCUGUUGAAGAAAUUAGCUCAGCUAAGUUGGAUUUUGAUCUAACACUGUGCGGGUUUUUGUUCCUUUUUCCCUACCAGGCCAUGUGGGUUUGGACAGUUAGUUUACCUGUUACCUUUGUAAAUGCAAGCAAUGGUGGAAGAUUGUUUCAACCCGCAGAUGUUAUAGGUUGGACAAUGUGGGUUGCAGGGUUCUUGAUUGAAGCUACAGCUGAUCAACAAAAGCUUUCAUUCAAGAACUGUCCAGAAAACAAAGGAAGAUGGUGUGAUGUUGGUAUAUGGAACUAUUCACGUCAUCCAAACUACUUCGGAGAGGUUAGUAUCGCUAAGAGACCAUUCUACCGAUUUACAUAUUCUUUUUGUAUGAAUUAGAAGAAGCUUCAAAAAAGAAGAAACUGAUGGGGGUGAUUAUAAAUUCAGAUGUUACUCUGGUGGGGAAUAUAUGUGGCUUCAUUGCCUGUGCUUAAAAGUGCCGAGUACCUUGUCAUAAUUGGACCACUCUUUCUCACUUUGCUACUUUUCUUCGUUAGCGGCAUACCAUUACUCGAGGUUUUUCUAUCUAUCCUCUCUCUUCUCGCUCUGGCACAUUCUGUUACAUAGCAGAAACAACAUUCUUGUUGUGUAUAAUUGCAGGAAUCUGCGGACAAAAAAUAUGGUAACUUGGGAGCUUAUAGACACUAUAAGAAGACAACUAGGUAUGAUAUGGAGCUCUUUGAACACUGUUAUUGUCCCUCGAAUAUAAGCUAAGUAUUUACUUACAGUUCUCUGAUUGAAUAUUUGCUUACAGUCCUCUGAUUCUCUUACCGCGAGGAGUGUAUGGGUACUUACCAAAAUGGUGCAAAACAGUCUUUCUCUUUGAGUUUCCAUUGUACAGCCGGAAUCUCCCUCAAGAAACUACAGUCUGGUGAGUCUCUCGGAUCUUCAAAUAUGAAUGAAUUCAUCAUAUUUGUCAUUUUUUUGGUUUCAUUCUCUUUGUAAUCCUACAUAGUCUGUCAUGAACUUAAUGAGUUAUUUUCGUUCUUUUUACGCGCAAGGGAUAGAGGAAACUCGAAGAAAAAGAGCUAAAGAAGUAUUGACUGAGAGAGAGAUGGCUAUUGUAUUCUUUUUGCAAAACUCAUCUCCGAGUUUUUUCCUGAUCAAUUCUCUUUUGUAUAGAUUAUGGUUUGUCUUUGAAUACUUGUGAAAAGUAAUCGAUACAGUGAUUGUGAAUACAAUAAGAUUCAAACCAAGCUUCAAAAAAUGUUGGAAGGAAAAUUACAUAUGAUUCAAAAGACAAGUGCUCUAAAGAAAGACCUAUUGAUGUGAACUGUUACUGAAGUUCUCUAAGGAUAUCACCGCACCUGAUCUAAGUUCACCUGAAGUAGAAGUAUCAGAAUGAGAAAGUAAGAUGUAUAAUACCCAGAGAUGAAGGCAAACAAGAUAGAGUAAAGCCCAGAUUUUGGCGGUUGGGUUUCUACGCAAGAAGACAGUUCCCGACACGAAUAUAGCAUUUAGUUGCAUCACUAGCCAUCCCAAAUGUUUCUUUCCUGACCGGAUUUUAUCUUGGAAAGCUGGUUUAAACUUGGAUCCUGAGAGUUCCCAAUCUCCUGCUUCAAGAUCAUGGGAUGAGGCUUCAGUCGCAGACAUACCUUUGUUUUCUUCUAUAAGCCUUGAUACAGCCUGGCAAAGAAUCAAAAUUGGGUUGUGUGUAUGGGAGAAUAUAUUUUUGGAAGAACAUAUUUUUGUUUUGGGAGCAGGUUGGUGGGAUUUAUCAAUGUACCUCAAUUCUAAACGAUAUGGUUGCUUUCUCUGAGGAAAGCGCUUCGACCUGGUAUAUUUGGCAAGACAAUUUGGAAGUUACUGGUAAUUUUUAGUCUAAAUAUCUCUUCUGUAAGUAUUAAUAUACCUGGGAUUGUUUUUGAAUAAGGUGGUCAGUAAGCUGGUUAAGUCUUCGCUUCAGUUCAAUUUCCACUUCAGUUGGUUCUUCAAGUUCCUUUCUCAUCAUUUCUAUGUCUACUUCCAGUUUAGUUGCCUGAAUUUAACAAGGAAUCAAGAAAAAAAAAAGGAUUGAGCUUCAAAUAUAGACUUGAGUUCUGUAUCACAAUAAAUGAAAAUUCCAGUCUUUAAUUAAAAAUUAUACAGCUGCAUAUACCUAAUAGGAAUAAUCGUUCAUAAUGGAACCUAAAGCAUAAGUCAACCAGACAAGUGUGUUAGCUAACCUUAUCUUGUAGCCGCCCGAUCUUAUCAGUCAGCAAAGAAAUCUCUGCUUCAAGCAUCUGGUGUUCGAAUAUAUCUCCUCUAGUAGCAUCUAACUACACAGUCCACAUAAGCAGCAUGAAUUUCAGACCAAAUAGACAAAGAUUGAAACAAAAAAUAAACCAGAAAGAAUCGAAAACCCAAGUCACCUGUUUUAGAGUUGACACACUUUCCCCAUUAUGAAAAGUAUUCCGCUUCAGUUCUACAUGAAAAAGACAACUUCUUCAGCAGUAUAGCGAAGUUAUUAUCCCCAAAUGACUAUGAGGCUAUGAGCGAAAAAAAGGUCAUGCGAAGUAUAGAAGCUCUCGAUAAGAGAGGUGUCUUACAUAUCAGUAACUGUAUAAUUUCUCAAACAAAAGAAUGUAUACCUUCCAGAGCAGACUCUUUAAGCUCAACUUGUUGUCGGAGUACUGUUACCUGCUCUAUCUGGUCAAAUCAGAAAGGAAAGAGAUUAGUAAAUAAAUGCAGUUAUAGAAAUUGGUUCUAAGACCCUGACUCAACAACAUUAAUUAGGUAUUAAUCAAAACAUCCCCAGCGUCAGAAGAUCUACAUCUCUCUUAGUAAGAACACUGAUCAUUAGCUUUUACCUUUAUUAUUCAUCGAUUCCAGCUAAUUCAAACAAACUAAUAAACAAAUUAACUAGAUGAUGUAAUCUUUAUACCUGAGUCUCAAGUUUCUUCUGCCCAGCAGCAAGCGAUCUUGUAAGUUCAGCGUUUGCAGCCUAUACAUUCCAUUUUAAAUAAUGAAAUCAGGAACAGAAGACUCUCCAUUACAAGGUAAUACUAACAGCACUUUGAACUGCCGGCAAACAAAAUACGCGGUUAAUACCUCCAAUCCAGCCAAGCGUGUGAGAACUUCCAUUCUUGUAUUGUUAUGCUUCUGUUUUUCAAGGUCAGCAGCUUCCAGUGUUUCCAUCAUGUUUGUUUGCAACUCUGCAGCCUAUAUGCAGGAGAACAAACACAGCGUAUCUAGUUCAUCUAGCUUGAGUAAUACAAAUUUCAGAUCAUAUUCUAGAUGUCACAGCAGCUUCUAUCAUAUCAAUAGAGCAAGCUUUGUAGUUCAGACUCCAAAAGUGUAACUAGUGUUUUUGCUAGUGUCAACAAUAAUGAGCAUGUCACUUCUUAAAAUGAAACAAGUCAUGGGCAUGCUUGCAUUUUGUCAGCUGAAACAUGAUAUAGAGUCGAAGUGCAGUCUUAAUUGUCUACCACCUUCAUUUUUUAUUUUUUUUGAACAAACUUCUACCACCUUCAUUAUUGCAAGCAAAAAAACUUGAAAAAAAUGCUACCUCUUGUGCCUGUUGUUUAGCUCGUUCCUCGACUAUUUUCUCUAAACUCUGUUUUUCACCCUCAAGUCUUGCUACCAUAUUCUCUCGCUCUUUGAUGACGGCUACAGCUUUUGUUGCAACUUUUUCAGCAAAGAUUUUCUCUCUUCUCCUCCUAAGCUCUUCCCUCUGACGCUCCCUCUCAGAGUCAGUGCUUGAAUCAGACUCAUAAUCGGAUUCAGAUUCAUCACUUGACAAGGAAGAAUCUCUCCUCUUUAGACCAUCAGAAACAUUGCUCAGUGAGGCUUCUCCCUUCACCUGCUUUCCCCAUACAGCACUUCUUCUGGGCUCACGACCCUCCGAUUUCCCUACACUUGGUAAUGUAUCCCGAAGGGGAGUCUCAUAGACCGAUCUCGUGGAGUCAUUCAGGGCAGAUGGUUGAGCACUGACAUCCUCCUCAUUCUCUUUAUGAGUUGACUUCACAGAUAUAUCCCGAGGAGCAUUCCUACUUUCCACGCCAGCAUCAGAAGGGCUAGACACUUCUUUGUCGCUUGGUUCCCUAUUCGGCUGUUUUUGUGGCCUCCCUCGAGAAUCGACCAAAUUACCACUACUCUUGUCACUCUUCUUACCAUCAAAUACCAAAGGAUUUUUCCCCACAUUGCCAUGUCUUUUUCCAUCCUUCUUCAAUCCUCGAAGCACAGAUGUUCCACCGGGAGUACGAGGCUUAGAAUUACUGGUCCCCUGAUUUGGAGAACUCAAAAGUUCUGUCCAGUCAUUGUCAGUGAGUUUAGUUUUCUCUUCUGUCAAGCUUUGUGACGGUGAACUUGUCCUUCCUUGAGAUUGAUCUGGUUUGCGUAACUUUUUGCCACUACUUAUGUAACUAGGUUUUUGGUCAGUUGAGUUUCUCUGAGAUCCACUGCCAGAAUCACUGCCUUCAUAUGUCUUCUUCCUCAACUGAUCUUUCAAAGAAACAGGACUGCUUCCAGACUUUGGAGAGGUGUCAAAGACCUCGUCAUGGGUCUCAGACUUCUCAUCCUUUCGUAGAGACUCUGCUGCCUGCUGAUCGAGCUGAAAACCACAGUUUACAUAAUUCCAAAUUAGCACAAUUGGUACGAACUCAGGUAGAUUAGACUCUCGAGUAACAAAUUGGACCCAAAAAGCGAUGCAAUGCAAUGACCAGAUGGUGUAACAAUAACAUUUUCAGAUGAUUUAGAUGAAUCAAAUGUUGAAUCACAUCAAUUUCAACAAAACUACUCUACAUUUAAAACAUGGGGACCAAAGAGUUCCAAAGCAAACAAUCCAACAACAUGAGGAUCGAAAUUAAACCAGAACCCAAACGACUUCCAAAUCGGAUAAUUUUCACACUUUUUCUAUUCAAAACGGAAAUGAGAUUCGACAUCUCUCUCUCUCUAUCUCACCUGUUGAAGAAUCGUUUCGGCGGCUUUGAGCUUCGACGAGAUCCAAUUCGCCAUUGUUGCCUUCCACUGCUCUUUAGUUUAGAAAAGAGAUGGGACUAAAGACCCAUACGACAGCGUUUUGUUACCCAAAGUGAUUUCUGAAUUAACACUCUCUCGCAUCAGAGAGAUAAACGAAGAAGACGAAGAUGAAAUCAAAGAAUUGGAGGAAGGUGUAAAUUCCUACAGUGACGUGUUGGUUUGGUGACACGUACUCAUUUUAGCAAACGCCUAAAAAGAGACUUCACAACUAACCCGGCCGAAUCAAGUUUUGUGUUUCCGGUUAUUAAUUUCGUCUUUUGGUUCAAUUUAUUCCAAGUGUUAUUGUUUACAUACUAGGACUCUAGGAGGUAGGAUCAUACUAAAAUAACAAUUGUUCCAACUACAUUUAAGAAACCGCAAUUCCAAAUAUUAAAUAAUCUAAACCAAAUUAUUUACUUGUAGCAACAAUUGGAUCAUAGUUACGUUUACCUUAAUAUGGAUCAUAGUUACGUUUACAAUCAACAAUUAUCAAUUUUACAUCACUCAUGAAUUCAAAACCAAAUUAUUUACUUGUAGCAACAAUUGGAGAAAGAAGUACUCAAGGGUCGAGUGGCGGUAACUUCAUGAAUAUUCACAAUCUCUGUACCGGCGGGAACGACCGUACUGUUACCGUCACCGUCACCGUUGGGUCUAUUGUCUAAUGCAAUCUUCUGAAUCAAAACGUCAUGUAUCCGUCCGAUCAUGCUUAGAAACGCUUCCUCCACGUUUUGGUUCUCUAAAGCCGACGUUUCGAGAAAAUAGAGACCUUCCGACUCGGCUAAUGUCUUACCCUCUUCUUCUUUAACUUCUCUUGACUGCCGGAGAUCGGAUUUGUUACCUACGAGAACAAUGACUGUGUCGGGACUAGAGAAGCCUCUGAGCUCCGACAACCAUUUACUAAUGUUUACAAAAGUGGUUCUCCUUGUGAUAUCGUAGAUUAGUAAAGCUCCUAAGGCUCCACGGUAAUAUGAACUUGUUAUUGCUCUAAAUCUUAUUUCCUCCCAUGCAAAAAAAGAAAAAGAAGAAGUCAAGUGUAUGAUUUAAGGAAACACACAUAAACGAUUAUAUAACUAAUUAUCUGAAAUUGUAAAUGUAAGAUAAAAUUUCAAAAAUGUGUCGAAAUAAAAAUAAAUUUAAUAAGAAAAACAAAAGGAAGAAAAGGUCGCGCGACAAUUAACGAAGAUUAGGUCCGAGUGAGUGACAUCGAUUGCUUAUCAAGAUUCACAUUAUUUGCUUCUGCGCGUGAUCUGAUCUAUUAUCCUAAUCAUUAUCCCAAUCCUAUAUUUCAUUAUUUGUUUUUUUGUUGUUUAUGUAACAUAUAUAUAUAUAUAUAUAUAUAUAUAUUAACAUUUACAUACCAAACAAAAUUGUCGAAAGUUUAACGACUAUUCGCCUACGUUAAAAUUUUAUACAUUGAAGGAUAUAUUUGUUGAUGCAUGGUCAAAAUGAAAAAUCAAUGAAUGGAAGUGAACUCAAUAAAUUUCAAAUAAAUUUUGAUCAUUCAUCAAGUCGGUGUAUUGAACGACGUUGAAUAAAUUAUGUUACCUUUCCUGGCCGGCGGUGUCCCAUAUCUGAGCUUUGAUGGUCUUAUCACCAACGCGAACGUUCCUGUAAGCAAAGUCUACUCCGAUGGUUGGUUUAGAAUCUAACCGAAACUCAUCUCUCGAGAAUCUCGACAAGAGGUUUGAUUUUCCGACGGCGGAGUCUCCUAUUAGCACAGCCUUGAAUAAGUAGUCGCACUCUUCAUCGACGUACGAUUCCUCCGCCAUGCUCUAUAUAUAUUUGGUGCUCGGUGCUCCCGCUUUGAUUAGAUCAGUUUAUGUAAGUUACUCGAUGUAUAGAUGAUGGAAAUUCCGAAGAGAAAGGUUUUUGUUUUAUAUAAAAAUCUAUAGAGAAAGUCUUUCGAUUAAGUAUAUAUUGGCUCUCUUUUUUAUUAGAAUUAUGUAUAAUUAUGCAUAUGAAUGUCAUAUGAUUGAGACAAUACGUAUAUUAUUGUAUUUUCUUUUUGGAUUAUUUUGUAGUUGUAUCCUAAUAUUAAGUAGAAAUUUGAAUUUUACACCAACUCUUUUAAAUAUUUGAAAUGUAUCUUAUGUAUGAUUAAAAAUGACUAUUUUACCCUUAAUUAAUAAUUAAAAUUUAAUAAUACAAAAACCAAAUAACAAAAUUAAUAUAUUUUACAAUAUUAUUAAAAAAAAUUAUUAGAAAUUAAUUAAUUAUGUUCGAAUUUUUAAAAAAUAUUUUAGAUAUUUAUUAUAGAUAAUAUUAAUUAGUAACUACAACUGAAAAAAAUAAUAAUUUUUUUAAGAAUAUCAUUUAAAAUAAAUGACUGGUUAUAAAUUUAAUAUUCAAAUAUUUAAAAUUUAUUAUAGUAAUUAUGAAUCAAUUUAUUAUAGAUAAUAAUAACAAUAAUUAAAAUUAAAUAAGAAUUUAUAAUAUUUAUAAACUUUUGGAUUUAAAUUUCAUUCGAAUUUUAAAUAAGGAUAAUAUAAAAAUAAUUUUCAUAAUUUUUCAUUUAAUAGAAAAUUUUGAAAACGAUAUUUAAAUGUUUUUAACUUUAAUAUAAUAAAUAUAUAAACUAGUUAACCCUAAAAAAUCAAUAGUUCAAAAAAGUCGACAAUGUAAAAAAACAAUUAAAUAAAUAACAAGUCGACUCUUGUAAUAUAUGUUGACCAAAUUUUUUUUUAAAUCAACAAACAUAACAAAUAAAUCAACUGUAUAAAUAAGUCGACAGUAUAAAAAAAAACAACGAAAGAAAAUAUAAGUCGACUCUUGUAAUAUAAGUCAACAACAACAAAAAUUAAGUGGACAGACAUAAUAUAUAAGUCGACAGUUCUAAAAGUCAACCCAAGUAAUAGUCAGUAUAAAAAUAAAAUAAGUCUACUAAGACCAAACAAAUCGACCAAUUUUUUUUCAAAUCAACAAACAUAACAAAUAAGUCAACGGUAUAAAUUAGUCGACAGUAUUAAAAAACAACGAAACAAAAUAUAAGUCGACUCUUGUAAUAUAUGUCAACAACAAUAAAAACAAGUCAACAUAAGUAAAUAGACAAAUCAAUAGUUCGAAAUAUCAACCUUAUUAAUAAAUCAACAUUGAAUAAAAUAAGUCUAUCAAAUAAUAUAUAUAUAUAUAUAUUAUUGAUUACAUAAUCUUAAAAUACAUAUUUUUAAUAAAGUAAAAUUUGGCCAUCGUUUUUAAUAUAUAUUUGUAUUGACCAAAAAAUUAAUAUAAUUAUUACUUUAAAAAAAAAGAUUAAAAAAUUAUAAUUUUUAGUUAUUAAAAAUAUUAAUACGUUUUUAAUUUUUAAAUUUUAAAAUAUUUAUAAAAUUAAAAUUUUAUUUUUUUAAUUAAUUUAUUUAAUAUUGGUGAUUAAAUAAAAGGGUAUUUUCGUCCAUUUUAAUAUUAAAAAGUAUAGUUUUCAAAUAACAAUAAUACAUAGUGUAGUUAUCAAAUUUUGUAUAAAAUUUAGUACAUUUUUAAAAAUGUCCCCUUUCUUUUUCCUUGGAAGAGUUAAUUGAGGUCGAAAAACCUUUGGAGAAAAGUAGAAGUGUAUAAUAUAGGAAAAUGAAACGAGCAGGACAAGGAUAAAAGAGGCGUGACUCGUGACAGAUCAUUGUACAUAUAACAAUGUAAUCCAAGAUAAUUUUUGUCUUUGUUAUAUAGUUUUUUUUUUUUUUGUCAACGAGGUUUUAUUAUCUAUCUGCUAAUUAAAAUAUUGUGCUAUUUGUUAAGUAUAAAUUAUUGUUUCGUUACUGCUGAUUAAGUCAUAGAGAGCUCAAUCAUGCAUGUUUAUCUACUCUCUACGUUUGAAGUUUUGACAAUUUACCAAACUCACUCACGUUAGAUUUGACUUAUUACCACAAUUUUGGGCCUAAAAUGGGCUUUAAUAGGUCGGACUUUUUCACAAACAAGUCAAAAGUUAUUUUUUUUUCUCAUAAAAAAAGAGUGAACCAAAAGGGGAGUCUAUGAUUUCCAAAGGGCAAAGAGGAAGAGUGGAAUACAAUUCGUAGACGUCGACGUCUUUAUUGUAAUGUACACACCACCACGGCACACCAUAGGAAUAGGAUUCCAAUCUCUUUUUUUCUUUUGGAAACUGGGGCUUGUCUUUUUUCUCGAAGACACUAGUUGCCUUUAUUUUUAUUUUUAUAAAAAAGGUCAAAACACUAGUUGCCUUUUAUAUAAUCACAUUCGUUUCUUAAAAUACUUACCACCUCCAUUUCUACUAAACCCGAGUAUUGUAGCGACAAGCAAACGAAUAGUAUACUCUAUCAGUUUACGCGUCAAUCGAGUCCCUCCUCUUUUAUAAAUUCAGCAUUCAUUUUCAUUACGUUGGUUCGUAGCAGGAGACUGUUUACUCAUAUUAUUAUUAUUUCAUUGAAACCUGAAUCCUCGCCUUAAAUUAUUUAUUGGCCUUAUUAUUUCACGAAAAAAAAAAACUUUAAAUGUUGUUACUAUGAUGGUCCCCAAAAGCGAAAUAAAACAUUAAAUUGUUACAUUACAUUCUGGGAAUCAGUUAUCUCUUUUUUUCUUUCUUUCCGGAGAGGAAGAACGUCUCCGUUGACCAUUUCAUUUAGAGUAAUUCAUCCAAAAUAUAUAUAUCAUCAAGUCUUUAAAACUUAGUCAUGAGAUUCUCCGAGAAGCUAAAAUUGAUGUAUUCUAAGAGCAAAUAAACAAUUAGAAACCAAAUUUGUUUGAUCAGAUAUAUAGAGACAGAGGAGAAACAACGAUGAUGUAUCCAAUAGUAUGCAGAUCUUAAUAAAAACAUCUUCCAACAACUAUGUAUGAAAAGAGAUCUACUCUCAUAUUGAAGUUUGAAGUUAGACUGAGGAUUGAUAGAUCACAUUUUCAAAACGAGUUCCUAAAGCCACACAUAUAUAUAGCUAUUAUUAUUAUUAUCCCAAUUUUUGAUAUCACAUUUCCAGAUCUACUCAAUAACCCUAAGCCGAACCUCCAUUGGCCGAUCCGUUGCUGUUGAUGAGGGAGGACGAAGUCAUCAUCUUCUGAAACUCUUCGAAAUUGACAUUCCCGUCGCCGUCUGCAUCCACAGGUCCGAUCAUACGAGUACAGUCCUCGACAGAGCAAGACAUCCCAAGUCGGUUUAGGACCUGGUGAAGCUCGGCGGCCGAGAUGAGUCCGUUUUUGUCCUGAUCGUAGAGAUCGAAAGCGUCACGGAUCUCUGCGGCGGAGGAAGACGAGCGGCAGAGAGUGGAGAACUCGUCCAGGUUGAUGAAACCGUCGCGAUCUGUAUCGACCUCCUCCAGAACGCGGUUGAGCUCCGUCUCCGUGUAGGAAGUCCCCAUGGCCUUAAACACGCCGCCGAGUUCGAGGACCGAGAUCUUGCCGUCGCCGUUGGAAUCGAACUGGUCGAAAACUUUCUUGAGCUCAUCUGGGUUAGCCAUGUCCACCGAUGCAGGCGUGAGUUUGGCGGUUUCUGGAUUUGCGCUUGCCAUUUCCUUUCUUUCUUUCUGUUUGUUGUUAAAAGGUAAAGUUAGAGAGAGAGAGAGGUAGAAAGGGUUUUGGAGCAACUGGAGAGAGUGAGGUUCCUUUUUUAUAGACCUUUUCUGUGAUUAUUAUUAUUAAUUAUUUUCGCUAGAUAGAUAGAUGCCAUUUAAUUCUAAUUACAAGUUUUUUGGAAUCGAAUCUUUUUAUAAAAUUUUCCUUCAUUUUAGAAUUGAUAUCCGGAUUCUUUUAUAUAUAUAUAAUCGUGAUUAUUUGGAUUAAUAACAUUAAUAACUCGUAGUAUAUGGGUUUGGAAAUACGUACUCUAAUUGGUUGCAACAUGGAUGUUUUUUUGAAUUCACCAGAAAAAGAAAACAUGGAUGAUUUUGAUCAAUUACUUUUAAUUCUUUUGUAAUUAUUUUUAGCUGACGAUGUCUCAAUAGUAAAAUUUGAAUUUUUAGGAUACACUCUGAAACGGUUUGGGAUGAUGCUUAGUUAUUCUCAUCCACGUGUUAUGUGGGCUUAAUGAAGACGGCAAGACGCUCUAAUGUCACGUGCCUUGAUGAAAAAUGCAUUUGUUUAACAACAUAUGGAUGAUUUACCUAGGCAAUAACACUCGACUCGAGUAUUAUUAUUAUUUGUUGGGUUUCCUAAUAUUGAAACAGACAAGUGUUUAUUUAAAAUUUAUCCAUUAGUGGAUUCAGUCUUAAACUAUAAGUAUAUACAUACGAUUAUAGUAUUACAAGUACAUACUAUUUUUGUUUGUUAAUAUACCUUUGGUUUUGUUGUUGUUUUGUUAAUGGGGAGGGACAGUUACCACAGUUUAUGCAAACAAACAAACAAACAAAAAUGGUACGUGACUUGUGCUAAAAGUGAAUAAAGAAGUGUGUCUCAAUCCAACGCGGCCAACGCGUCCCGGCUAUAUAUUAGCUCUGGGCACGAAGCGAAUAUUCGGAAAAUCUGUGAUAUUUGUGACUCGCUUCGCUUCGACCGAAUGGUUGAUUUUGGUAUUUGCUUCGCUUCGUAAAUUUUCGAGUAUUCGGAACUUCGAAUAUUCGAGUAUUUUUUGUAAUAUUCGCGAACUAUUCGCUUCGCUUCGCUUCGUCCCAUUUAAUUUUUUUUGAAUCUAAAAACAUGUAAUAUAUAAACACAAGGUGCAAAAUAUAAGAUAUUAUAGAUUCUUGUUUGACAUGUUUUCAAAAAAGAAAUGUAACCACCGUUGAUAACUUAUCGUACCUCUGAAAAAAACAUGUCAUCAAACUAAUCCAAAAACCCAAAACCCAAUUUUUCUAACGUUUAUUUUUAAUAUUUUUUUUAAAUAAAGUUUUAUUUGUUUAAGAGCAACAUUAAGCAAAAAAUGCAACGGACCAAAAUAUAGUAAUAUGAAUAAUAAGCCUAUUAGAUAUAAACCCAAAUCCAUAAUACACAUAUUAUAUAUAUUAUAUAAUAAUUUAUAUUUAUAUAUAUAUAUAUAAAUAUGCGAAGCGAAGCGGAUAUUCGGUACUAAAAAAAUCAAUAUUUGUUAUUUGCUUCGGUUUGUACGAAUACUAUAUUUUCAUAUUUGCUUCGCUUCAACAUCUUAUACAUAUUUGUAUUUUUCGAAUCGAAUCGAAUCGAAGCGAACCGAAUCUAACGAAUAUUUUGCCGAGGGCUACUAUAUAUACAUACAAUCCUUUUACGCGUCGUGAUUGUUUUACUAGUAUACUUAAGUGGAGUCUUUUCUUUUCUUUUUUAUUAUUAUUAUUAUCCGAGAGUGGAGACUUCUCUAUAAAAACUACGAUUGAAUCUCGAACUUUAGUAUUUCACAUUCAACAACCCCCCCCCCCCCCCCCCCUCCUUUUAUGCCAUGUAUCAUCAACUAGGUAGUAGGUAAUAUCAACAUCAUUGUGACAUUAUAAUAUUAUACUAUAUGUUAUCCUUAACCGAAUCGCACACUUUCUGUUUUGCCCUUGUUAAUGAAUUGGACUGGUUUAAUUAGCUCUCUACUUUAUAUGUACUUUUGUUCAAUUAAGUUUAUCUUCAUCGCAUAUUCCCGAUUUCUUCUUCUAAUAGAGAGAUUUUAACAAAUAAUACAUAUUUAUAAACAUCCUACACUUUUCUACAAAUUACUAAAUACAGAAUAAAGUACAGGUUUUUAAACAAUAUGAUCGUUGUUUGUCAAUUUUGUUAAAAAUUGUUUACAUACACUCCUACAAACAUAAACAUGACUUUGAAUAUCUUCUAUUGCUUACGUGGAAAAUCAAACAAAAUUCCUAGAGUGUUUCUUCUUUGCACUGAUGUAAUUGAGCUCGCUUGCACAAGCACAACAAGCAGAUUGAAUAUUAUUAUUAUAGCAUUUGACCACACACACACAAAAUAACAGUUUAGCGCAUUUGACUCUUGUAUUUGGGAUACAUAAGUUCAUCCACGAGUUAGUAACUUGAGAAAUGUUAUUCAAUUCGAGGAGACAAUAACCAAACAGAACCUCGUCAUGAUUCAAAUUGAAGUGGCAAAACAAAUGCUAGUGUAUCUUAAGCACAAAGUGUAAACAACAAAGAUGCAAGGAACAUGUCUCGCCUCAUCUGCUUCAGAAGCAACUAAUCAAAUUCAAGUGAGGAAAUAGCUAAGCAAAGCACAACGAAUACAAGAUUUCUUGACUAAAACAUUUAUGGGCAUCGACAAACCUUUGAGCAAAUUAUCUCCCAAAAUCAUAUUGAAAACAAAAACCAAACUUAUAGCUGGGAUCAGCAAAAUAAACGAAACGUUUCUGCUCCUAGGAACAAUUUGUUUCCCCAAUGCAGCAAAAUUGAUUAUUCCCAUAAACAAGAAAAAUUACCAAAAUCCAUCAAAAGCUUGCUUGGUCGCAGCCGCAUCCUCUUCCGAGACGCCGAAGGCUAACGUAUCAUUCAAAAACAGUUCUUCACAAGCUUUCUUAAUAGAAAGAAUAGUAGUGAGAAUGAGCAUGCAUACACUUGCUCAGCCUAGGCCAGAGUUUCUGACACUUAUCAGUGUAUUUUUGAGCUUCAUCCACGCAAUUUUUCAAAGCCGUGAAUGACUCUUUGCAGGCACCCUCUCUCAUAAACUCGCAAACCCGCAAUUCUAUUUACUCAUCCCUAUCAGUUGACGCAUCUCCCAGUUUAGGCGGGAAUAAGGCAUAGAGCUCCCUGCACAUCAGAUUUACAGUAGCAUUCGCCAGCGCUUCCUGAUGAGCUCUCAGUCUCUCCCCAGGGAUUUGGUACUGGUAUCGACCCGUCUUCAAAAUGUUGAUGACGUGAUGAUCCCCAUUUUUCUCUGCCGUGAAACGAGAUCUUGUUGGAGCUCGAGGUUGAAAAGAGACAAAGUAUACAUUAUAUAUAUCGAACAAAAACAGGGGAAAUUUUAACUUUUUUCCGAUCACCUUCUUUGAAGGUAAUUUAAUAAAAUUAUUUUUGAAUUAAAAAACAAAAAACUAAUGAGGAGUAAUCUCAACAAAUUCUUGAGGACAACGAUUACAAACAUUUAUUUUAUUUAUAUUCUAAGGCCCAAGAUAAGGUUUAGUUUCUCGUUGUUAACUCCUACGUACAACCGAGAAAUUUGUUAUAAUUAAGAAUAUCAUGCAAAAAAUUAAACCCUUAAACGAACUUCAUUUCAUGAAAUGCAUAUAAUUGUUUUUGUUUUGGUUGUGUGGUAGAAAUAAGUUACAUGUACGUGACAUUUGUAAAGAGUGUACCAACAGAAUAACGGUUUCGGUCAUAUUUGCAUUUGGGAGGAUACACAAUUAUGGAUCGUUGAUGAAGCUAGAAGCUAGAAUUUUGAGGGUCUUGAGGUGUAACUUGAGUGGUUGGUUGAGUAACUUGAGUGAGUUCCUUUGAUAUUUUUAUAAUAGGAUUUGCAUUCAUUAGUGUUACAAACGUAGAGAUAGAAACUCAAGAUUUGGAAACAUAACAAGAUUCUAUUGCUAAUAGAGAAAUGCUUCUUCUUACUGCUUGGCUAAUUUAAUGGCGAUGGUGAGGGCAAAAGGUGACAAUGUAGUUAGCCUUUGAACAUGUGGCAAUGCUGGUUGGGUCAUCGUAAGCGUAAGAAUAAGCUUUAGGGCAAGCGACUUUGAAGAUUUUGGAGUAAGCCGUUGGUUUGCAAGAUUGUGGGUUACCGAACAAGCCGGUGCAACAGUACUGUGGUGAGUUGAAAGCAGAGCAAGCGCUUUUACAGGCUAAUACCCGUUUCCCGUUACGUGACCGGACUUGUAACCCGACCGGACACAUCCGGUUUAGAUCGCUAACACAGCCGGCGUAGCUACAUUUACCUGAGCCCUUAACCGGCAUUAUCGACAUCGCCAAGUUAUAACUGUCAUCACAACAAACAAACAAAAAGAAGCAAAUUAGUGAGAGAAAAAAAAACCACACACAAAAGGGAAGCAAAUUUUGAAGUAGAGAUUUACAGACCCGUCGACGAGGCUGACGUCAUAGAAGUCUAGCUCAGGGCCGAGGGUGAUUUCGGCGAGAGUGGCCGGAGGUGCACCGCCGGCACCGUUGCAAGAGAGAGAACCGCCGCAGUCUCCGGUGGCGCAACGACCACGGCCAGAUCUGUCGAAGGAGCAGCCGUGGCGACCCCAGAAGCGGCCGGACCAGAGUGGUGGGAGCUGAAGAGUGUGGGCUUUGUUAGCCGGAAGUUUGAAGCCACCGCCGGCGAGUAAGUUUUGGCCGGCGCUGGGUUGGAUUCCUGGCCACACUGGGUAUCUGCAUUUGUUGUAGAAGAUUACCGUCGAAGCUGCUCACAAAGAAACAUCGAAGCUAGUGAUAUUAGAAAAAUCUUCACCUAAAACGAGAUUGAGACAAAGACUAGAAUAAUUACAGAAACUUAAAAGAGAUCUAGCUGUGGGAAUGUAAAGAAGAACCUGAAGCGUGAGAGAGAAGAAGAAGGAGAGCAAAGUUGAAGAUGUUGAUUGAAGCCAUUGAGGGAGCUCAACUUGUGGUUACUUCUCUCACUCUCAGUGCUUUUUAUGGAUUUUCAAGAAGAAGAAAAAGUUUUCCCCAAGGAGAAUUUGGGGAACGUAAUAAUGGCAAAUGUUACCCACACUUCUCGAGACUGUCCAGGCCAGAGUUAGUGCGUAUUAGCUUUUUUUUUUCUUUUCUUUUUACACAGUCAAAAAAAUUAUGUAACUGUCCUUUCAUCAUCAAGUUUUUCAACUCACUUCUUCUUUUUUUUUUUUCUUUUUUUUUCGUCAACUCACUUCUUCAUAUUCGUUAGAUCUCAAGUGAAUCAUUCUCCCUCAAUUUUGUUUUAU
rnacentral:lncRNA from 1 species